rnacentral:snRNA from 1 species
AACUUUGCACAGUGGCAGUAUCGUAGCUAAUGAGGUUUAUCCGAGGCGCGAUUAUUGCUAAUUGAAAACUUUUCCUAAUACUCUGCCAUGACAACUUGCGCAAUACAGUCAGCACUGGCAAUUUUUGACGGUCUCUACAGAGA